rnacentral:rRNA from 1 species
GAUGAACGCUGGCGGCGUGCCUAAUACAUGCAAGUCGAGCGAACGGACGAGAAGCUUGCUUCUCUGAUGUUAGCGGCGGACGGGUGAGUAACACGUGGAUAACCUACCUAUAAGACUGGGAUAACUUCGGGAAACCGGAGCUAAUACCGGAUAAUAUUUUGAACCGCAUGGUUCAAAAGUGAAAGACGGUCUUGCUGUCACUUAUAGAUGGAUCCGCGCUGCAUUAGCUAGUUGGUAAGGUAACGGCUUACCAAGGCAACGAUGCAUAGCCGACCUGAGAGGGUGAUCGGCCACACUGGAACUGAGACACGGUCCAGACUCCUACGGGAGGCAGCAGUAGGGAAUCUUCCGCAAUGGGCGAAAGCCUGACGGAGCAACGCCGCGUGAGUGAUGAAGGUCUUCGGAUCGUAAAACUCUGUUAUUAGGGAAGAAAAUAUGUGUAAGUAACUGUGCACAUCUUGACGGUACCUAAUCAGAAAGCCACGGCUAACGACG